GAAAAGCCCCCCCGGCUUAACUCGGGGAGGGUUCAUUUGGAAAACUGGGGAAACUUUGAGUGCAGAAAGAGGAGAGUUGGAAUUCCACGUUGUAGCGGUGAAAUUGCGUAGAGAUGUGGAGGAACACCAGUGGCGAAGGCGACUCUCUGGUCUGUAACUGACGCUGAGGAGCGAAAGCGUGGGGAGCGAACAGGAUUAGAUACCCUGGUAGUCCACGCCGUAAACGAUGAGUGCUAAGUGUUAGGGGGUUUCCGCCCCUUAGUGCUGCAGCUAACGCAUUAAGCACUCCGCCUGGGGAGUACGGUCGCAAGACUGAAACUCAAAGGAAUUGACGGGGGCCCGCACAAGCGGUGGAGCAUGUGGUUUAAUUCGAAGCAACGCGAAGAACCUUACCAGGUCUUGACAUCCUCUGACAAUCCUAGAGAUAGGACGUCCCCUUCGGGGGCAGAGUGACAGGUGGUGCAUGGUUGUCGUCAGCUCGUGUCGUGAGAUGUUGGGUUAAGUCCCGCAACGAGCGCAACCCUUGAUCUUAGUUGCCAGCAUUCAGUUGGGCACUCUAAGGUGACUGCCGGUGACAAACCGGAGGAAGGUGGGGGAUGACGUCAAAUCAUCAUGCCCCUUAUGACCUGGGCUACACACGUGCUACAAUGGACAGAACAAAGGGCAGCGAAACCGCGAGGUUAAGCCAAUCCCACAAAUCUGUUCUCAGUUCGGAUCGCAGUCUGCAACUCGACUGCGUGAAGCUGGAAUCGCUAGUAAUCGC
rnacentral:rRNA from 1 species